rnacentral:rRNA from 1 species
AACGAACGCUGGCGGCAGGCCUAACACAUGCAAGUCGAACGCCCUAGCAAUAGGGAGUGGCAGACGGGUGAGUAACACGUGGGAACGUGCCUUUCGGUUCGGAAUAACCCAGGGAAACUUGGACUAAUACCGGAUACGUGCGAGAGCAGAAAGAUUUAUCGCCGAAAGAUCGGCCCGCGUCCGAUUAGUUAGUUGGUGAGGUAAUGGCUCACCAAGGCGACGAUCGGUAGCUGGUCUGAGAGGAUGAUCAGCCACACUGGGACUGAGACACGGCCCAGACUCCUACGGGAGGCAGCAGUGGGGAAUAUUGGACAAUGGGCGCAAGCCUGAUCCAGCCAUGCCGCGUGAGUGAUGAAGGCCCUAGGGUUGUAAAGCUCUUUCGCCAGGGACGAUAAUGACGGUACCUGGAUAAGAAGCCCCGGCUAACUUCGUGCCAGCCGCCGCAGUAAC